AAUCUCUCUCCGAGUGGUGACAUUAUUAUCGUGAAUUCUUUUUGCAAAUCUUGCAUCUUUAGUAUUUCAGAUACAGAAAUAGUGGUUGACUUGCUAGUGUUGGAGAUGAGGGAUUUUGAUGUAAUCCCUGUUAUAGAUUGGUUAGUAGUGUAUCAUGCUACUAUAGAUGCUUUAAGAAGAUAGUGAACUUUUAUAUUCUAGACCAGCUAUAAUUUAACUCCAUAGGUAGUGGGUCAUAUCCCUCAUUCAAGUUAGUCUUUACUCUACAAGCUAG
rnacentral:lncRNA from 1 species